AAUGGCGAGAGAAUCUUGAAAAAACAUCACCGCUGCAGCCUACGAACACUCUGUGGUGAAAAAAUUGGCAUGUUUUGAGACAACAUUACAGCAAAAUUAUAUUAAAUUUUAUAUUAAAAUAAUAAAUCUAAAAAUAAAGAACAUGGAUAAAAGAAUGAGUUACGAAAUCUCUGAUGAAACAAAUGCAGCAUCGAGAAAACCAAUGGGAUUUUGCUGUGUCUGCUUAGCAACUCCGUGCCAACUCAGAAAAUACUAUUGCCACCAAUUUUGUUCUGACUGCCUUUAUAGAUACAUAAAGGUCCCUGAAAGAAACAGAAGUCAAAAUUAGCAAGCAAGAUGUAAAAAAAAUACGGAGUUCCAUUUUUUUUACAAUGGACUUAAAGUAUUGCAUCUCAGAAAUAAAGUAUCAAUGAUCUAAGUAACUUUAUCUACACA